UCCUUCUCAUCACUGAUAUUGGAUCUGUGCAGCCCGUGUCAGGCGCUGAAUCUGUUCCAGGAAGGCAAAGUCAGUGGAAAGGAUAAUACAAAGACUAAUGAGACUAAGGAUGAUGCGGGAAAAGAUGGUACUGGUGCAAAGAAUGAUACAAGGAGCGAUGCCCAAGCAGCUGAAAAAAGCGAGAGAGAGAAA